UUCAGUCAUUUUAGAUUACAAACGGGAAAUGGUUAUCAAAAUUUUGGAAAAGUGGUAACCAUUUCCCGUUUGUAAUCUAAAACGACUGAA